rnacentral:misc_RNA from 1 species
GCCUUAAGAGAGUGAACUCUAGAGAUUUAUGGGUUGUCAUUAAUAAUAGUGAUACAAUUGAUACAUUGACCCUUGCAAGAGAGAACCUGAGGCGUUUCUACCUUUACAUUGAGCAACUGCCUCUUUUAAUGCCUGAGACUCAUGCUGUUGUGUUUGAUUACAUGAUCUGACUUGCAGAUAAAGAACGUAAUAAACCAUAGCUAUGGCCAGCUGCACAUUGUAUAUAGAGUAUAUGGUGAGGAAAGCUUCGAUCCCAUCCACUACAGCUGGUUGAGAAGAUACUGGGAGUUAGCUGUAUAUAAUUAACUAACUGGUGGUUACAUUUGGAUGAAAUUCAAACCAGUUGAUUAACAGGUGACUUUGGAAGUUCAUGAAACUGCGAAAAAUUAAGCAAAAGAUUAAGCACCAACAAGUGGCA